rnacentral:lncRNA from 1 species
UCCAUGGUGACGUGAGGAUGUGCCACAUGGUCUAUCCCAUCUUCGCACUUGGCGAUCAGGAUUUCUUCUGCCGCGAUGUCUCCCUGCUUCUACUUGCUCAGCCUCAGCAGAAAACUCCUAACACAAAUCAACACCUAAUAAGUCACCCAUAUCAGGUAUUGCUCCGGGUACAUUUCAUUGCGGAGCUAAUGGGGCGUUAGGUGUUGUCAUUGGGGCAUCAUGUUGCUGUGAAGGGGUCAUAGUCGGCCAUGAAAAAUGAGGAUGUGUUUCCG